AGGGGAUAGUCACGUAGUAUGAACAGGGGAUAGUCACAUAGUAUGAACAGGGGAUAGUCACGUAGUAUGAACAGGGGAUAGUCACGUAGUAUGAACAGGGG